AUUGAACGCUGGCGGCAGGCCUAACACAUGCAAGUCGAACGGUAACAGGAAACAGCUUGCUGUUUCGCUGACGAGUGGCGGACGGGUGAGUAAUGUCUGGGAAACUGCCUGAUGGAGGGGGAUAACUACUGGAAACGGUAGCUAAUACCGCAUAACGUCGCAAGACCAAAGAGGGGGGACCCUCGGGCCUCUUGCCAUCGGAUGUGCCCAGAUGGGAUUAGCUUGUUGGUGGGGUAACGGCUCACCAAGGCGACGAUCCCUAGCUGGUCUGAGAGGAUGACCAGCCACACUGGAACUGAGACACGGUCCAGACUCCUACGGGAGGCAGCAGUGGGGAAUAUUGCACAAUGGGCGCAAGCCUGAUGCAGCCAUGCCGCGUGUAUGAAGAAGGCCUC
rnacentral:rRNA from 1 species